GAUGAACGCUGGCGGCGUGCUUAACACAUGCAAGUCGAACGAGAAAUGGAGACGGAAACCUUCGGGCGGAAGGCUUCAUUUCGAGUGGCGGACGGGUGAGUAACGCGUGGGUAACCUGCCUCAUACAGGGGGAUAACAGUUGGAAACGACUGUUAAUACCGCAUAAGACCACAGCACCGCAUGGUGCGGGGGUAAAAACUCCGGUGGUAUGAGAUGGACCCGCGUUCGAUUAGCCAGUUGGCGGGGUAACGGCCCACCAAAGCGACGAUCGAUAGCCGAUCUGAGAGGAUGAGCGGCCACAUUGGGACUGAGACGCGGCCGGAACUCCUACGGGAGGCAGCAGUGGGGAAUAUUGCACAAUGGGGGAAACCCUGAUGCAGCGACGCCGCGUGAGUGAAGAAGUACUUCGGUAUGUAAAGCUCUAUAAGCAGGGAAGAAAAUGACGGUACCUGAGUAAGAAGCCCCGGCUAACUACGUG
rnacentral:rRNA from 1 species